rnacentral:tRNA from 1 species
GGAGGGGUGUCCGAGUGGUCUAAGGAGACGGUCUUGAAAACCGUUGUGCGAGUAAUCGUACCGUGGGUUCGAAUCCCACCCCUACCG